rnacentral:rRNA from 1 species
UACGAAGGGUGCAAACGUUGCUCGGAAUUAUUGGGCGUAAAGCGCACGUAGGCGGCUAUCUAAGUCGGAUGUGAAAUCCCUCGGCUUAACCAAGGAAGUGCACCCGAAACUGGAUAGCUUGAGUACAGAAGAGGAUCGCGGAAUUCCCGGUGUAGAGGUGAAAUUCGUAGAUAUCGGGAGGAACACCAGUGGCGAAGGCGGCUCACUGGCCCGGUACUGACGCUGAGGUGCGAAAGCGUGGGGAGCAAACAGG